CCUACGGGAGGCAGCAGUGGGGAAUAUUGCACAAUGGGGGAAACCCUGAUGCAGCGACGCCGCGUGAGUGAAGAAGCGCCUCGGCGCGUAAAGCUCUGUCAGCAGGAACGACGAUGACGGUACCUGAAGAAGACGCCCCGGCUAACUACGUGCCAGCAGCCGCGGUAAUACGUAGGGGGCAAGCGUUAUCCGGAUUUACUGGGUGUAAAGGGAGCGUAGACGGCAGCGCAAGUCUGGAGUGAAAUCCCAUGGCUUAACCAUGGAACUGCUUUGGAAACUGUGCAGCUAGAGUGCAGGAGAGGUAAGCGGAAUUCCUAGUGUAGCGGUGAAAUGCGUAGAUAUUAGGAGGAACACCAGUGGCGAAGGUGGCUUACUGGACUGUAACUGACGUUGAGGCUCGAAAGCGUGGGGAGCAAACAGGAUUAGAUACCCGUGUAGUC
rnacentral:rRNA from 1 species